rnacentral:rRNA from 1 species
AUGGCUGAAGGAGGUGGAAAAAAAUUUGGUAGAAAUUACCUCACAUGGACAGAUGAAAUGGACACUACACUACUCGAGGUCCUUGUUGAGCAUCACAACAAUGGCGAUCAUGCCCAGAAUGAAUGGAAGUCCCAUGUCUAUAGUGCUGUUAUAGGUAAUGUGCGUGAGAAGUGCUCUGUGACCAUCACAAAGGAAAACAUCAGUUCAAGGUGCAAAACCUUUGAAAAGCACUACGAGGCCAUUAGCAAGAUGCUAUCUCAAAGUGGAUUUGGGUGGGAUUGGGUCAAUAACAAGCUGUCAAUUGAUAGUGAAGAUGUGUGGCUUAAAUAUGUCGCGGCUAACAAGAAAGUAGGAUUUUACAAGAACAGGGUCAUUAAGAAUUGGGAUGCUAUCACCACCAUAUACUCAAAAGAUCAUGCAAAUGGUGAAGGUGCUGUCACUGGUGCUGAAACUGUUGUAGAACCAACUACGGAACCCAAUGAAGCCUCUCCUGAAGUGCCAAAAAAAAACAACGACUUGGUGAUGCCAUCCUGUGCCUUCUUGGGGAUAUGA